CUACUGCUUUCCCUGGUAGCUAAGGCGCCCACCUGACCCCAAUUCCCCCCGGAACUGGUGACCUUGCCCUGACCCCGGAAGCAAAGCCUGCCGCCAUGCUUUGCCCGCCUCCAACCUCUGCACACGGUGGGUGUUGCUCCAGGACCGUUACUUCAGACAGGCCAUGCUGGGUCUUCGUUGCGGAGCGUGGGUCUCUCUCGUUGUGGUGAACAGCUCUGGAGCACCCAGGCUCAGGACUUGUGGCACGUAGACUCUCUGGCUGCAGCACAGGGCUGAGUUCCCCCACAGCAUGUGAGAUCUUAGUUCCCUGACCGGGGAUCAGACCCGCUUGCCCUGCGUUGGUUUCACACCUAAGUGAUAUCAUAUAGUAUUUUGUCUUUCUCAGUCUGACUUCAAGGCUUCCCCUGUGGCUCAGAGGUAUAAAGAAUCAGCCUGCAAUGCAGGAGACACAGGUUCGAUCCCUGGGUCAGGAAGACCCCCUGGAGAAGGGUAUGGCAACGCAUUCCAGUAUUCUUGCCUGGAGAAUCCUAUGGACAGAGGAGCUUGGUGGCUACAGUCCAUGGGGUCGUGGAAUGUAAAGUCAAGUGGGCCUUAGGAAGCAUCACUACGAACAAAGCUAGUGGAGGUGAUGGAAUUCCAGUUGAGCUAUUUCAAAUUUUAAAAGAUGAUGCUGUGAAAGUGCUGCACUCAAUACGCCAGCAAAUUUGGAAAACUCAGCAGUGGCCACAGGACUGGAAAAGGUCAAUUUUCAUUCUAAUCCCAAAGAAAGGCAAUGCCAAAGAAUGCUUAAAAAACCGCACAAUUGCACUCAUCUCACGUGCUAGCAAAGUAAGGCUCAAAAUUCUCCAAGCCAGGCUUCAACAGUACGUGAACUGUGAACUUCCAGAUGUUCAAGCUGGUUUUAGAAAAGGCAGAGGAACCAGAGAUCAAAUUGCCAAUAUCCACUGGAUCAUCGAAAAAGCAAGAGAGUUCCAGAAAAACAUCUACUUCUGCUUUAUUGACUAUGCCAAAGCCUUUGACUGUGUGGAUCAGAAUAAACUAUGGAAAAUUCCUCAAGAGAUGGGAACACCAGACCACCUGACCUGCCUCCUGAGGAAUCUGUAUGCAGGUCAGGAAGCAACAGUUAGAACAACAUGGAACAGCAGACUGGUUCCAAAUUGGGAAAGGAGUACAUCAAGGCUGUAUAUUGUCACCCUGCUUAUUUAACUUAUAUGCAGAGUACAUCGUGAGAAACGCUGGGCUGGAGGAAGCACAAGCUGGAAUCAAGAUUGCUGAGAGAAAUAUCAAUAACCUCAGAUAUGCAGAUGGUACCACCUUUAUGGCAGAAAGUGAAGAACCACCAAGAGCCUCCUGAUGAAAGUGAAAGAAGAGAGUGAAAAUCUUGGCUUAAAACUCAACAUUCAGAAAACUCAGAUCAUGGCAUCCGGUCCCAUCACUUCAUGGCAAAUAGAUGGGGAAACAAUGGAAACAGUGAGAUACUUUAUUUUUGGGGGCUCCAAAAUCACUGUAGAUGGUGACUUCACCAUGAAAUUAAAAGACAUUUGCUCCUUGGAAGAAAAGCUACGCCCAACCUAGACAGCAUACUAAAAAGCAGAGACAUUACUUUGCCAGCAGAAGCCCAUCUAGUCAAAACUAUGGGUUUUUCCAGUAGUCAUGUAUGGAUGUGAAAGUUGGACUAUAAAGAAAGAUGAGUGCUGGAGAAUUGAUGCUUUUGAACUACAAUAUUGGAGAAGAUUCUUCAGAGUCCCUUGGACAGCAAGGAGAUCCAACCAGUCAAUCCUAAAGGAAAUCAGUCCUGACUAUUCAUUGGAAGGACUGAUGUUGAAGCUGAAACUCCAAUAUUUUGACUACUGAUGCUAAGAGCUGACUCAUUUGAAAAGACCCUGAUGUUGGGAAAGAUUGAAGGUGGGAGGAGAAGGGGACAACAGAGGAUGAGAUGGUUGGAUGGCAUCACCAACUCAAUGGGCCUAAGUCUGAGUAAACUCUGAGAGCUGGUGAUGAACAGGGAGGCCUGGCGUGCUGCAGUCAUGGGGUUGCAAAGAGUUGGACACAAUUGAACUGAACUUAAUUGACUUCACUUAGUGUGAUAAUCUUCAGGUUGAUCCACAUAGCUGCAAAUGCAUUACUUCUUUUUUGUAGCUGAGUAAUAUUCCAUUAUAUAUACUACGUAUUAUGUAUCUUACAUAUUACAUAUGUUAUGUUGUUGUUACUGUUCAGUUGCUCAGUCGUGUCCAACUUCUGCGAGCCCAUGGACUGGAGCACGCCAGGCUUUCCUGUCCUUCACUGUCUCCCAGAGUUUGCUCGGUUUCAUGUCCACUGAGUCAGUGAUGCUACCUACUCAUCCCAUCCUUUGUCAUCCCCUUCUUUUGCCUUCAGUCUUUUCCAGUAUCAGUCUUUUCCAAUGACUCGGCUCAUACACACACACACAAACACACACACACACACACAGGUGGAGGGUAGCCACCACCACUCGCUCUGACACACGCCCCACAUCUUCUUUAUCCAUUCCUCCGCUGAUGGACAUUUAGGUUGCUUCCAUGUCUUGCCUGUUGUAAGCAGUGCCGCAGUGAACAUUGCGGGGUGCAUUUUAACCAGUCCCUGAAAAUCUCUGUUCUACUUUCUGUCUCUGUGAAUCUGGCUGCUCUGGGAAACUUAUAUAAAUGGAGUCAUACAAUAUCUGUCCUUUUGUGUCCGGCUAUUAAUACAGGAAGCACAGUGUGUUCCAGCUCCAUGCAGGUAGCAGGUGUCAGCUUUCACUCCUCUCAUGAAAGAGUAAUAUCCACUGUAUAUGCCACAUUUCGUUUAUCCCUUCCUCUGUCGAUGUACAUCUGGGUCGUUUCCAUAUCGGUAUUGAUAUUUUUUAAAAGCUCCAAAUUGAUUCCGAUGUGAAAGUAGGCACGAAAACGAAGGCCUUCGUUCUCAAUCCCAGCUGCCCAUUAGAAUUACCUGGGAGCUGUAAAACACAGACAGAAAAACUCCCACAAACCCGAUGCUGGUGCCCGUUCAGACAGACCUGCCUCAGCGGCAGCGCCUCUGAAAGUGAACCCCAGGAGUCCAGAAGAACACCCGCUUCCUUCCAGUGAUAGAAGGCGCAGGCGCGUCGACUCAUUUCCAAGUCUCUGCUGCCCCCUGGUGGCACAACUGACAGCAUUCCUGGGCGCCUCGCUCUCCAGGACAGGCUUGCCCACCCACUGGGAGCCCACAGUGCCAGCCCUGCCCGGGGGCCUGGGGACCCUGCAGAACUCGACUUGUCCCCCCGCCCCUACUGUGCUUCCUCGCUGGCCUUGCGUGGCUCCAUGUCUAGAGGGACAGAGGAGGUUGUUAGAGAGGAGAGGACACACACAGGCAGAAGACUCCACUUUGGGUGAACUUGAACAAGCCAUUUAAACUGUGCCUCAGUUUCCCAGGCUUUCACGUGAGGAAAACCACCACCACUCCUCUGACGAGUCCCUGAGAUCGCUGGUGGGCAUGUCUAUCAGCCUCUGGAAGGACCCAGGGCCGGUGCGUCCACCUCGGGCGUUUGGGGCUGGGUUGUUCCCUGUACCGGAGCCGUCCUGGGUGUGGUGGGU
ensembl:lncRNA